UAACACGUGGGCAAUCUGCCCUUCACUCUGGGACAAGCCCUGGAAACGGGGUCUAAUACCGGAUACGAGGUUCGCAGGCAUCUGUGAACUUGGAAAGCUCCGGCGGUGAAGGAUGAGCCCGCGGCCUAUCAGCUUGUUGGUGAGGUAAUGGCUCACCAAGGCGACGACGGGUAGCCGGCCUGAGAGGGCGACCGGCCACUCUGGGACUGACACACCGCCCACACUCCUACGGGAGGCAGCAGGGGGGAAUAUUGCACAGUGGGAGAAAGCCUGAUGCAGCCACCCCGCGUGAGGGAUGACGGCCUUCGGGUUGUAAACCUCUUUCAGCAGGAAAGAAGCGCAAGUGACGGUCCCUGCAAAAGAAGCGCCGGCUAACUACGUGCCAGCAGCCGCGGUAAUACGUAGGGCGCAAGCGUUGUCCGGAAUUAUUGGGCGUAAAGAGCUCGUAGGCGGCUUGUCACGUCGAUUGUGAAAGCCCGAGGCUUAACCUCGGGUCUGCAGUCGAUACGGGCUAGCUAGAGUGUGGUAGGGGAGAUCGGAAUUCCUGGUGUAGCGGUGAAAUGCACAUAUAUCAGGAGGAACACCGGGGGGCGAAGGCGGAUCUCUGGGCCAUUACUGACGCUGAGGAGCGAAAGCGUGGGGAGCGAACAGGAUUAGAUACCCUGGUAGUCCACGCCGUAAACGGUGGGAACUAGGUGUUGGCGACAUUCCACGUCGUCGGUGCCGCAGCUAACGCAUUAAGUUCCCCGCCUGGGGAGUACGGCCGCAAGGCUAAAACUCAAAGGAAUUGACGGGGGCCCGCACAAGCGGCGGAGCAUGUGGCUUAAUUCGACGCAACGCGAAGAACCUUACCAAGGCUUGACAUACACCGGAAACGUCUGGAGACAGGCGCCCCCUUGUGGUCGGUGUACAGGUGGUGCAUGGCUGUCGUCAGCUCGUGUCGUGAGAUGUUGGGUUAAGUCCCGCAACGAGCGCAACCCUUGUUCUGUGUUGCCAGCAUGCCCUUCGGGGUGAUGGGGACUCACAGGAGACCGCCGGGGUCAACUCGGAGGAAGGUGGGGACGACGUCAAGUCAUCAUGCCCCUUAUGUCUUGGGCUGCACACGUGCUACAAUGGCCGGUACAAAGAGCUGCGAUACCGUGAGGUGGAGCGAAUCUCAAAAAGCCGGUCUCAGUUCGGAUUGGGGUCUGCAACUCGACCCCAUGAAGUCGGAGUCGCUAGUAAUCGCAGAUCAGCAUUGCUGCGGUGAAUACGUUCCCGGGCCUUGUACACACCGCCCGUCACGUCAC
rnacentral:rRNA from 1 species